GAUUUCGCCUCGCCCAGGUGCCUAUGCGAGAGCCCAGGCGCCUGGCGACAGCACUGCUUGCGAUCUAAAAUUCAUGUCAGUAUUUUGCUGGCUUGUUCACUUUUAUUGUUAAUUUUUCUUGCUUUAUGAUUUUCCUCAUAAUUAUUUGGCCAUAAUGCUUUUAUUCUUGAACUUUUGCUUCACUUUUUUGUUUCUAAUAGCAUAUUCAAAUAUUGUUUUGAGUAUAG
rnacentral:misc_RNA from 1 species